GAUGAACGCUGGCGGCGUGCCUAAUACAUGCAAGUCGAGCGAACAGACGAGGAGCUUGCUCCUCUGACGUUAGCGGCGGACGGGUGAGUAACACGUGGAUAACCUACCUAUAAGACUGGGAUAACUUCGGGAAACCGGAGCUAAUACCGGAUAAUAUAGUGAACCGCAUGGUUCAAUAGUGAAAGACGGUUUGGCUGUCACUUAGAGAUGGAUGCGCGCCGCAUUAGCUAGUUGGUAAGGUAACGGCUUACCAAGGCAACGAUGCGUAGCCGACCUGAGAGGGUGAUCGGACACCCUGGAACUGAGACACGGUCCAGACUCCUACGGGAGGCCGCAGUAGGGACUCUUACGCAAUGGGCGAAUGCCUGACGGAGCAACGCCGCGUGAGUGAUGAACGUCUUCGGAUCGUAAAACUCUGUUAUUAGGGAAGAACAAAUGUGUAAGUAACUAUGCACGUCUUGACGGUACCUAAUCAGAAAGCCACGGCUAACUACGUG
rnacentral:rRNA from 1 species